rnacentral:rRNA from 1 species
AGAGUUUGAUCCUGGCUCAGGACGAACGCUGGCGGCGUGCCUAAUACAUGCAUAGUCGAGCGGACUUUCAAGAAGCUUGCUUUUUGAAAGUUAGCGGCGGACGGGUGAGUAACACGUGGGCAACCUGCCUGCAAGACGGGGAUAAACUCCCGGGAAAACCGGGCGCUAAAUACCGGAUAAUAUCUUUCUUGCGUCAUCGCAAGGCAAGGUUGAAAGGCGGCGCAAGCUGCCGCUUGCAGAUGGGCCCGCGGCGCAUUAGCUAGUUGGUGAGGUAACGGCUCACCAACGGCGACCAUGCGUAGCCGACCUGAGAGGGUGAUCGGCCACACUGGGACUGAGACACGGCCCAGACUCCUACGGGAGGCAGCAGUAGGGUAUCUUCCGCAAUGGACGAAAGUACUGACGGAGCAACGCCGCGUGAGCGAAGAAGGUCUUCGGAUCGUAAAGCUCUGUUGUCAGGGAAGAACAAGUACCGUUCGUAACAGGGC